CCAUUGAUGACCCCCCACGGGAAGGCGCACCUGCCCCCUACCCCGGCCCCUAGACCCGCGGCGGGAGCGGGAAGGCGCACCUGUUUCCCCCACCCCCCACCCCUAGACCCGCGGCGGGAGCCGGGUGUCGGCGCCCCCCGCCAGUGCCAGGACCCCUCGUGAGACGGCCCUACACCGGGGAGCUUGAGGUGCCCUCGAGGCCGAACAGAGAACAGAGCGAGGACCGCAGAGGACGUGGACGGGGCGGGGGGCGGGGGGAAACCGUCACCCCGCUUCCAAACGCUGCAUCAACACGACAGGAGAGGGCGCUCUGUGGCCGGAGCUGCGCCUCCUGCGGGAAACUCAGGAAAACUGGUGUCAGGGACAGAGGCCAGACCCCUCACGGUGACAUAAAAGGGUAUAAGGAAUAUAACAACGUCCCAACGGACAAUGGAGGUGCACCAGAAAGGCACGCAAACUGUAAACUUUUAUUUCAAAAUUAGAAAUUCUCGGAAGCGAGGUGACAGCACACAGAGUGAGAAAUAAAGGAAAAAUAAUUUUAGAAAUGAAGACUUACAGUAGAAGAGCCUGCGUGAACAGACCCGACAUUAAACACCCAGAAGGGAUACAAGGUGAAAAGGGGAAAUUUACAAAAAUAAAGAACUGAAAAAGAGGUUGCGAUGAUGUGUGAAUAGAUGGUGUGUGUCGUAGGUUGGCAGAGAAUGUCCAAAACACGGCUGAUGUGCAUUUCUUCUUUCUGAAGAAGCAAACCGAGGCCACAGAACAGAUACUAAGAGCUACACUUCCGGAAGAUUUCAGAAAGUUUUUUUCUUGAAACUAGCUAUUGAAAAGGCAAACCAUGAACCCAAGAAUAUGGAUUCUGAAUAUCUAACACCAAAAUGUAUUCUAGUAAGAUUACUGGAUCAUAAAAAGAAAGAGGGAAAUCUUUUGGGCAGGUAGGCAAAAAGAGCAGACAACUUGCAGUGGAAAGAAAAGUAUAUUAGAUCAGACUUUUCAACAUUUUCCACCAGAAGGACAAACUGUAACGCACGGUGGUGCAGUGAAUAUUCCCACAAUAUUGUAUUCCAAUCAUCAGACUUGCUAAGGGACUGGAUCUUAAUGAUCCCAAACUCAAAAAAGCAAAGAUAAUUAUGUGACCCAGAAGAGGUGCGGUGGACACAUCAGCCAUAUUGUAAUGUAUAAAUGUGUCAGAUCAACGGGUUGUGUAUCUUAAAUUGGCACAAUGUCGUGCGUCAAGUAUAUUUCAGUAAAAGAACAGCCAACGUUCGUGUACAGCACAACAAGCAGGGACACCCGGAAUAUUUCCCCAGGGCCCCCUAUGAGGCACCUGCUAGGAAUCUGUUCCCAUGAGGAACAGCCAAGCCGCCUGAUGAGACGAACGUGGGAAUUAGGUGUGUAAAUUACAUACGCGGCUAUUUGCGAGACUGAGAAUGUAUGUUACAAGACAGACAGCGUGGAAUGUCACGGCUUUAUGUUCUGAUGAUGCAGGUAGGGAACAACCAUGAAAAAUGGGGAAAGAUGAGAAAAGUAUAUGCCAAGACAUGUUUUUACCGUUUCUCAUCAUCCUGACUAUUGGUGCCGUGACUAAGACUUGCGCCUGUAAUGUUGUUUGCAUACAGCCAGCGACAGUUGGGACGGGUUUGCCUUGUAGUAUCUCGUGUCCCUGAGCAUCCACACUUCAGCAUGGAAGAAAGGAGAGGCAGAUGUCAUAUAGAAAAGAAAAAUUCUAGAACCAGUGACCAACGCAUAGCCAUGAGCCUCCCUAGUGCCCAGACUGUGGUCUU